rnacentral:rRNA from 1 species
AGCAGCCGCGGUAAUUCCAGCUCCAAUAGCGUAUAUUAAAGUUGUUGCAGUUAAAAAGCUCGUAGUUGAACUUCAGGCCUGGCUGGGCGGUCCGCCUUCCGGGUGAGUACUGCCUGUGGUCGGGUCCUACCUUCUGGCGAAGCGUCAUGGCCUUAACCGGCCGUGGCGGGGAACCAGGACUUUUACUGUGAAAAAUUAGAGUGUUCAAAGCAGGCACGCGCUUGAAUACAUUAGCAUGGAAUAAUGGAAUAGGACAGUGGUUCUAUUUGUUGGUUUCUAGGACCGUUGUAAUGAUUAAUAGGGAUAGUUGGGGGCAUUAGUAUUCAAUUGUCAGAGGUGAAAUUCUUGGAUUUAUUGAAGACUAACUACUGCGAAAGCAUUUGCCAAGGAUGUUUUCAUUAAUCAAGAACGAAAGUUAGGGGAUCGAAGACGAUCAGAUACCGUCGUAGUCUUAACCAUAAACUAUGCCGACUAGGAAUCGGGCGAUGUUGACAAAAUGACGCGCUCGGCACCUCAUGGG